rnacentral:rRNA from 1 species
CAUACGACUAUCGUGGCAUAUCAAUAAGCGGAGGAAAAGAAGCUAACAUAGGAUUCCCUUAGUAACGGCGAGUGAAGCGGGAAGAGCUCAAAUUUGAAAUCUUCAAGGUUUUACCUUGACGAAUUGUAGUUUAAAGAAGUGUUUUCUGUUGGAGUUUUGGUAAAAGUUCUUUGGAAUAGGACAUCAUAGAGGGUGAGAAUCCCGUAUUUGACCGUUACUUUCCAGCUGUGUGAUACACUUUCAAAGAGUCGGAUUGUUUGGGAAUGCAGUCCAAAAUGGGUGGUAAAUUUCAUCUAAAGCUAAAUAUUGGCGAGAGACCGAUAGCGAACAAGUACCGUGAGGGAAAGAUGAAAAGAACUUUGAAAAGAGAGUUAAACAGUACGUGAAAUUGUCAAAAGGGAAGCGUUUGACACCAGUGUUGUUUUCUCGAAAAUCAAUUAAAAAUGGUGGGAUUUUGUGUUGUAUUGACUUUAUCAGCUUUCUGCACUUUUUUCCUAUCUUUUUUAAUGCACUUUUCGUUUAACAAGUCAACAUCAAUUUCUUUUGCUGUAAAAGAGUCAUUGGAAGGUGGCUUUCUUUUCGGAGAAAGUGUUUAUAGCCUUUGACUUCUGCAGUCGGAGAGAUUGAGGUCUGCAGCGUAGAUCCUUCGGGGUUAGAUACAUUUGUGCUAAGCUAUAGCCUUUCAUAGACAACUUGUUGACUAUGAUCAGUCAUGUAGCUUACUCGCUUAUGCUAUUUUACCUACGCUUAGGAUGUUGAAGAUAUGCGCGACACG